rnacentral:rRNA from 1 species
AACGAACGCUGGCGGCAGGCCUAACACAUGCAAGUCGAACGAACUCUUCGGAGUGAGUGGCGCACGGGUGCGUAACACGUGGGAAUAUACCCUUCAGUAUGGAAUAACGUAGAGAAAUUUACGCUAAUACCAUAUAAUGACUCCGGUCCAAAGAUUUAUCGCUGAAGGAUUAGCCCGCGUUUGAUUAGAUAGUUGGUGAGGUAAGAGCUCACCAAGUCGACGAUCAAUAGCUGGUUUGAGAGGAUGAUCAGCCACACUGGAACUGAGACACGGUCCAG